rnacentral:rRNA from 1 species
GACGAACGCUGGCGGCGUGCUUAACACAUGCCAGUCGAACGGUGAAGCGCCUUCCUUUUUGGUGGGUGUGGAUGAGUGGCGAACGGGUGGGUAACACGUGAGUAACCUGCCCCCUUCUUCUGGAUAACCGCAUGAAAGUGUGGCUAAUACGGGAUAUUCUGGGUCUGUCGCAUGAUGGGUCUGGGAAAGAUAUUGUUUCGGUGGGGGAUGGGCUCGCGGCCUAUCAGCUUGUUGGUGGGGUGAUGGCCUACCAAGGCGGUGACGGGUAGCCGGCCUGAGAGGGUGGACGGUCACACUGGGACUGAGACACGGCCCAGACUCCUACGGGAGGCAGCAGUGGGGAAUAUUGCACAAUGGGCGCAAGCCUGAUGCAGCGACGCCGCGUGAGGGAUGGAGGCCUUCGGGUUGUGAACCUCUUUCGCCAGUGAAGCAGGCCUGCCUCGUUUGUGGGUGGGUUGACGGUAGCUGGAUAAGAAGCGCCGGCUAACUACGUG